rnacentral:rRNA from 1 species
GAUGAACGCUGGCGGCGUGCCUAAUACAUGCAAGUCGAGCGAACAGACGAGGAGCUUGCUCCUCUGACGUUAGCGGCGGACGGGUGAGUAACACGUGGAUAACCUACCUAUAAGACUGGGAUAACUUCGGGAAACCGGAGCUAAUACCGGAUAAUAUAUUGAACCGCAUGGUUCAAUAGUGAAAGACGGUUUUGCUGUCACUUAUAGAUGGAUCCGCGCCGCAUUAGCGAGUUGGUAAGGUAACGGCUUACCAAGGCAACGAUGCGUAGCCGACCUGAGAGGGUGAUCGGCCACACUGGAACUGAGACACGGUCCAGACUCCUACGGGAGGCAGCAGAAGGGAAUCUUCCGCAAUGGGCGAAAGCCUGACGGAGCAACGCCGCGUGAGUGAUGAAGGUCUUCGGAGCGUAAAACUCUGUUAUUAGGGAAGAACAAAUGUGUAAGUAACUAUGCACGUAUUGACGGUACCUAAUCAGAAAGCAACGGCUAACUACGUG